CUUUCUUUUUGCAUUUAGUGGGAUGUUGAGUAACAGUACUCCGUGGAGCAGACUUUUUAGACAGAAAAUGCAAUUUAAUAUUUAGGAUCCUGGUUGUGUGUUCCCAUAGAAUACCAUCGCCCCGUCAGAAGUUCAGAAGUGGACUAAUCAUCGAGUGAUGGAGUGGCUGCGCUCUGUGGACUUGGCAGAAUAUGCCCCCAAUCUCAGAGGCAGUGGUGUCCAUGGUGGGCUCAUGGUUCUAGAGCCUCGUUUUAAUGUAGAAACAAUGGCUCAGUUAUUGAACAUCCCACCCAAUAAGACUUUGCUGCGAAGACAUUUGGCCACUCAUUUCAACCUUCUGAUUGGGGCUGAGGCACAGCACCAGAAGCGAGAUGCCAUGGAGCUGCCAGAUUAUGUACUUCUAACAGCUACUGCCAAAGUGAAG
rnacentral:sRNA from 1 species